rnacentral:rRNA from 1 species
AGCAAUACCGCGUGAGGGAAUAAGGAUUUUGGUCUGUAAACCUCUUUUCUCAAGAAAGAAGUUCUGACGGUACUUGAGGAAUAAGCAUCGGCUAACUCCGUGCCAGCAGCCGCGGUAAUACGGGGGAUGCAAGCGUUAUCCGGAAUCAUUGGGCGUAAAGCGCCUGUAGGUUGUUUAAUAAGUCUGUUGUUAAAGACUAGGGCCUAACCCUGGAAAAGCAAUGGAAACUACUAGACUUGAGUAUGGCAGGGGUAGGGGGAAUUUCUAGUGUAGCGGUGAAAUGCGUAGAUAUUAGAAAGAACACCAGUGGCGAAAGCGCCCUACUGGACCAUCACUGACACUGAGAGGCGAAAGCUAGGGGAGCAAAAGGGAUUAGAUACCCCUGUAGUCCUAGCCGUAAACGAUGGAUACUAGAUGUUGUGCUUUUUUGUGCAGUGUCGCAGCUAACGCGUUAAGUAUCCCGCCUGGGGAGUA